CAGCAUGGAUGAACCUUGAGAACAUUCUGCUAAAUGGAAAAAGCCGGCAACAAGAAGACAAAUACUGGAGGGACUCCACUUAGGAGAGGUAAUGAGAAUAGUCAGACCCCGUAAGGACAGAAAGCAGAAUGGUGGUGACUGGGGCUGUCUCCUGGGUGAAGAGUGUCAGUUCUGCAAGACGAAAGUUCUGGAGAAACACUGCACAACAAUGUGCCAACAACCCUACUUAACUGUACAUUGUUUAAAAAACAGGUGGAAAUAUGAAUCUGGAGUCAUGAGCCAGAGGCGCUCCCUACUCCCCGUCUGCACGAACUUGGUGGCUCACACCCAGUCUCUGACCUCUGAACCCACCUUCCACUCUGCCAGUUGCCUGACUGACGCGAAGAUGCCUCCUGUUGGAGGUACGGGGGCUCCCCAGGGAGCGGAUCAAGUUGACAGCUGAGCAGUCCACAGCAUUCCAUCUGUCACUCCGCACAGCCCAUCACCUCGACUAUCUUGGUUUAUCUUACUACCCCAAGUCGCCCAACCUCACGGUCUGCCUGUCGUAAGGACUUUAUGGGAAUCUAACCUUUUUUGGAUCCUGAACCUCUUCGAGAAGCCAGUGAAAGCUUCCCCACAAGAGCACGCAUGCACCUCCAAAUAAUUUUAGAAGGUCCUGGAUCCCUCCCCUCAAGCACAUCCGAGAAACUUCAGUUUGAAGCAGCCCCGUUACGUAGCCCCCAAUUUCUCUUCACACUCGUAAGGCAAACUCCUGAGCCCCAGCUCUAAUGUCUACACCUAACUUGUUUAUGAGUGCCCACCAGUCACCUAACGCGUUCGGAGGCUUGUCUGCACAAGGGCAAAAAUAAGCACGUGCACAUGCACACGUCUUGGCAGGAAUGAAAUAGCAAAGCCAAGUCCCAAAUGGCGCGCGCUCAUUUAGCCUCCUGGCCCUUGACGAUAUACGAAGCCAGUGCUGGGAGUGAAGGCAGGGCCAGCGAUCACACUCGCGUCAAGGAGCCAGGAUUGGUCAGCCUUCUUCCAUUCGAUAAGCAGCAGCACCGAAUAAUAA